GCCCAGCAACAGGACAAGAGGCAACGGGCAGAAACUGAAACACAGCACGUUCCAUCUGAACCUGAGGAAAAAUUUCUUUCCUGUGAGGGUGAGUGAGCACUGGAGCAGGUUGCCCAGAGAGGUGGUGGAGUCUCCAUCCUUGGAGAUAUUCAAAACCCGUCUGGACGUGAUCCUGGGCAAUAUGCUCUAGAGGACCCUGCUGGAGCAGGGGGGUUGGACUAGAUGAUCUCCAGAGGUCCCUUCCAACCUCAGCCAUUCUGUGAUUCUGUGAAAUCCAUUCUGAGAUAAUGGGCUCUGCUGGAUACAUACUGAAAUGAGUAGAUAAACAAUCAUCUUCAGUUUAUCAUCCAACUUGCAAAUCAGACUUUAUCUGUUUGCCCAAGCUCCUGUCCUAGGAAAUUGCUAGCAAAAGGCAAAACUAACAGCUGCUCUGCUCUUCCUGAUUGCCCAGGAAAGAAAUAUUUUAGGAUUGAAAAUAACUUUUUUUGAUUCUGUUUCUUGUUUACAGUUUGAACCUGUAAUAACACCCCACAACAUAACUUUGGUUCAUCACAUUCUGGUUUAUGCCUGUGGCAAUGCCAAUGUGUUACCCAGUGGCAUAAAUGACUGCUACGGAGCUGAUCCAGAUUUUGCCCUGUGCUCUCAGGUGCUUAUGGGCUGGGCUGUUGGGGGAGAGUCCUAUCAAUUUCCAGAUGAAGCUGCGAUCUCCAUAGGGACAUCUUUGGACCCUCAGUACAUCCGACUGGAAAUCCACUACAGCAAUUUUGACUUGUUACCAGAUGAACGGGACACCAGUUACAGAGCUGCAUGUGUUUGCCUACCUGCUUCACACCCACCUGUCUGGCAGAGGAGUGAAAGUUGCCCAAUACCGGUAAGAGAAGCCAGCUCUGGGGCCCAGUCCUCCUGGGCUGGAGUGGCUGAG
rnacentral:lncRNA from 1 species